GACGAACGCUGGCGGCGCGCUUAACACAUGCCAGUCGAACGGAAAGGCCUGCUUUCCCUUGUGGAUUGCGGGUACUCGAGUGGCGAACGGGUGAGUAACACGUGAGUGAUCUGCCCCCAACUUGGGUAUAAGCCUGGGAAACUGGGUCUAAUUCCCGAUAGGACUGCAGGGUGGUGCCUGUGGUGGAAAACGAUUUUCUAGUGGUUGGGGAUGAGCUCGAGGCCUAUCAGCUUGUUGGUGGGGUAAUGGCCUACCAAGGCGGCGACGGGUAGCCGGCCUGAGAGGGUGGACGGCCACAUUGGGACUGAGAUACGGCCCAGACUCCUACGGGAGGCAGCAGUGGGGAAUAUUGCACAAUGGGCGGAAGCCUGAUGCAGCGACGCCGCGUGGGGGAUGACGGCCUUCGGGUUGUAAACUCCUUUCGACCGCGAGGAAGCCACCUGGUUGGAAGGGUGGUGACGGUAGUGGUAGAAGAAGCACCGGCUAACUACGUG
rnacentral:rRNA from 1 species